UACGAGGGGUGCAAGCGUUGCUCGGAAUUAUUGGGCGUAAAGGGUUGGUAGGUGGUCUUGUUUGUCUGAGGUGAAAUCCCUCGGCUCAACUGAGGAACUGCCUUUGAAACUGUCUGGCUUGAGGCCGGGAGGGGGUAGCGGAAUUCCCAGUGUAGCGGUGAAAUGCGUAGAUAUUGGGAGGAACACCAGUGGCGAAGGCGGCUACCUGGACCGGUUCUGACGCUGAUGCGCGAAAGCGUGGGUAGCAAACAGG
rnacentral:rRNA from 1 species